AUACUGAUCAUCUCCCCCUUAUGGUUGGUUACAGAAUUGCAGAAAUGAGUCACCAGCAGUAACUCGGCUCUCCAGAAGCCUCAUCACCAGCCGUUCAUUUGCUCCAGGUGUGUUAGAGAAGAAAUGCAUCUAAAAGCUGGUAGCUCUCGGCCUCCAGGCCUCGGUCUAAAUCUUUUAACGUCUCUGUGGAGGGAUUUUGGUCCACUUCGCUUUGCUUUAAUUCGGACACACUGUAAGGGUUGUUGAGUAUUAGCGUCCUGUUUACGGCCAUGCCACAGCAUCUCAUAAGGUUUAAGAAGAACCUUCUUUUUUUGUUUGUUCGUUUUCAUGAGCCUUUAGCAGACAGCUGUUGUGUUUUCAAGCUCUGACCUCCUGCUAAGCUACAGCUCCUUCCCCACGGCGGAGCCUGCUGUGGAGCGCAGGCUAGUAACCAUGGCCACCGAUGAAGGCGGAUAAACACUGUAACGAUCUUGGGGGGUAUUGGAGAUGUUCUGGCAAACGUGAGCUGAAUCUUUGUGUUCUGUCACCAGAGGUUUUCGUCAGCUGGGGAUAGUAAGUCUUCUCAGGAUGCUGUCCCUGGGGAGGGCCUCGGCAUCUGGACUUGGCCGCUGCUCCCUUUCCCAGGAAACAAGUAGUCCCUUCACAGCGCUGCCAGAGUGACCUGCAGGCUCAACCCACUGGGCCCUGCUCUAAGUCUUACUGAAGGAUGUGGUGCCACAAGAUCAUCAGCAAAAUGUUUCGGACAUAUGGACAAGUUUUGGCAGGUGAAGCCAAACAAUUCCCAAGGGAGCAAGUGACCACUGAAGAGAACCGCAUUGGUGACAAUAUUAACAGUGAUAAAUUCAGAUGAUACGUGAAAAAUUGAAAGUUGGUUAAAAGCAGCUUUAAGAGGAAUCAAGUAGGCAUCUGUAGGAGGCUUGAACAAUGUAAUUUGCAGCCAAGAGAGCAGCUUGAUUAGCUGAUGUACUGAUCUGAGGCCUUGAAAUUGCUUAGCUUGCCUAACCUCUGUAAAAUCAAAUCACUGAUCAGUGUAUGCAGAAGCACACCAGAUUACUCACUGUACUUUGUGACCAAAAAUUGUCCAAGCUUGCUAUGUGAUAAGAAAAAAAUAGUGAAUGUGUAAAAAUAAAGCCAUAUUUCAUUUACGUCGCAUUAAAAAAGGUAAUAAUUACAUUA